rnacentral:rRNA from 1 species
CCUACGGGAGGCAGCAGUGGGGAAUAUUGGACAAUGGGGGCAACCCGGAUCCAGCCAUGCCGCGUGAGUGAAGAAGGCCUUAGGGUUGUAAAGCUCUUUCAGCGGGGAAGAUGAUGACGGUACCCGCAGAAGAAGCCCCGGCUAACUCCGUGCCAGCAGCCGCGGUAAU